rnacentral:lncRNA from 1 species
GCUGAUGAGAACCGACAAAAAAUAACAGCAAAAGCAAAGACUUCCACAUCAGAAGUGAAAGGAUAUCUUAUCCAGGAGGACCACACUCUUGCUCUACCCCUCCUGCAGCUUGAUCAGAU